GUGUUGCUAGCCUCGGAAGCACCCCGACGAGACGCGCCGUACCGGGUCACGAAAGACGACGCACC
rfam:Streptomyces sp. SPB74 genomic scaffold supercont3.1, whole genome shotgun sequence.